GUUGACGAAUAAAGAGUUGAAAAUUACAGGCUACAUCUAAGUUUUAAUCGCCUGUGUAGGAACCCAAUACCACUUUUAUCUCCCUUUAAAAUAUAGUCCCCUUUGUGGACGGUAAAUUUGUUUUCAUACGCAUUGCGGGGACCCAAUUGCUUUCUUUAUUUUUAAUGCAUGAAUAAGGAGAUGAGGUUGAACUAGAAAACGUUUGAGUCACGAAUUGUGAUGUUGAGUAGUGGUUUGGUCAAAUCGUAAAAGGUUGUAAACAAGGACAUCUGAAACUUGCAAACUCAAUGUAGACCCUAGCAACAUAAGAUUGUUCAUAUUUUGAAAUUCACUUCUAAAUAAAUUGUGAAUGUUUGAAUGAUUGAUGGUUGCCUUCCGUCAAGCAGCAAAUAUUUCAUGCAUGAUCAGGACGAGAACAAAUAAUAACAAGUAUGUGUCCGCAGUACACGGAUGAACCACUCGCACUUUAAUUUUCUAUGUUCUGUGACCGUGACUGAAAUGAGGUAAAAACUCUAAUUUGGCACUAAAAGUUAAAAGAUCAUAUCAUAGGGAUCAUGUGUACUGCGUUUCAAGUUGAUUGGAAUUCAACUUCAUCAAAAAUUACCUCAACCAAAACCUUUAAAACCUGAAGCGGGACAGACAGACGAUCGAACAGACGGACGCACCGACCAGGAAAUAUAAUGCCCAUCAACUGUCGAAGGUGGGUCAUGAAGAAGAAUACGAUAUGUAUUGUAAAAGAGGCUGUGUGGGAUGAAGGUCAAGGAGAUUUGGACUGCCACUGAUAGAUGAGGGCAUAUCGGAUAUUUCGCGCCUUGCAACAGGCAACAUACGAACUCGAUCCACAUGAGGCUUCGGGUUUAUCAUCCUGAUUAUUUACAUCUUGCUCAUCCAAAAACAUAAGUCCCCCUUUUGUCGGAAGAAGACAUAGAGUUGCCAUAUUUUCAAAAUAAUGCAACAUUGUUUUAGAUCAUAACACCGUCUUUUAAAU
rnacentral:lncRNA from 1 species